rnacentral:tRNA from 1 species
GCACCUGUCGUUCAAUUGGACAGGACCACAGCCUUCUAAGCUGUGUAUGCGGGUUCGAGUCCCGCCGGGUGUACCA